AUUGAACGCUGGCGGCAGGCUUAACACAUGCAAGUCGAGCGGGGUGAUGGUGCUUGCACUAUCACUUAGCGGCGGACGGGUGAGUAAUGCUUAGGAAUCUGCCUAUUAGUGGGGGACAACAUCUCGAAAGGGAUGCUAAUACCGCAUACGUCCUACGGGAGAAAGCAGGGGAUCACUUGUGACCUUGCGCUAAUAGAUGAGCCUAAGUCGGAUUAGCUAGUUGGUGGGGUAAAGGCCUACCAAGGCGACGAUCUGUAGCGGGUCUGAGAGGAUGACCCGCCCCACUGGGACUGAGACACGGCCCAGACUCCUACGGGAGGGAGCAGUGGGGAAUACUGGACAAUGGGGGAAACCCUGAUCCAGCCAUGCCGCGUGUGUGAAGAAGGCCUUAUGGUUGUAAAGCACUUUAAGCGAGGAGGAGGCUCUUUUGGUUAAUACCCAAGAUGAGUGGACGUUACUCGCAGAAUAAGCACCGGCUAACUCUGUGCCAGCAGCCGCCGUAA
rnacentral:rRNA from 1 species